rnacentral:rRNA from 1 species
GACGAACGCUGGCGGCGCGCUUAACACAUGCAAGUCGAACGGAAAGGCCUGCUUUCCCUUGUGGAUUGCGGGUACUCGAGUGGCGAACGGGUGAGUAACACGUGAGUGAUCUGCCCCCAACUUGGGUAUAAGCCUGGGAAACUGGGUCUAAUUCCCGAUAGGGCUGCAGGGUGGUGCCUGUGGUGGAAAACGAUUUUCUAGUGGUUGGGGAUGAGCUCGCGGCCUAUCAGCUUGUUGGUGGGGUAAUGGCCUACCAAGGCGGCGACGGGUCGCCGGCCUGAGAGGGUGGACGGCCACAUUGGGACUGAGAUACGGCCCAGACGCCGACGGGAGGCAGCAGUGGGGAAGAUUGCACAAUGGGCGGAAGCCUGAUGCAGCGACGCCGCGUGGGGGAUGACGGCCUUCGGGUUGUAAACUCCUUUCGACCGCGAGGAAGCCACCUGGUUGGAAGGGUGGUGACGGUAGUGGUAGAAGAAGCACCGGCUAACUACGUG